GACGAACGCUGGCGGCGUGCUUAACACAUGCAAGUCGAACGGAAAGGCCCUGCUUUUGUGGGGUGCUCGAGUGGCGAACGGGUGAGUAACACGUGAGUAACCUGCCCUUGACUUUGGGAUAACUUCAGGAAACUGGGGCUAAUACCGGAUAGGAGCUCCUGCUGCAUGGUGGGGGUUGGAAAGUUUCGGCGGUUGGGGAUGGACUCGCGGCUUAUCAGCUUGUUGGUGGGGUAGUGGCUUACCAAGGCUUUGACGGGUAGCCGGCCUGAGCGGGUCACCGGCCACAUUGGGACUGAGAUACGGCCCAGACUCCUACGGGAGGCAGCAGUGGGGAAUAUUGCACAAUGGGCGGAAGCCUGAUGCAGCAACGCCGCGUGCGGGAUGACGGCCUUCGGGUUGUAAACCGCUUUCGCCUGUGACGAAGCGUGAGUGACGGUAAUGGGUAAAGAAGCACCGGCUAACUACGUG
rnacentral:rRNA from 1 species